GAUGAACGCUGGCAGAAUGCUUAACACAUGCAAGUCAACUUGAAUUUGGGUUUUUAACUUAGGUUUGGGUGGCGGACGGGUGAGUAACGCGUAAAGAACUUGCCUCACAGCUAGGGACAACAUUUGGAAACGAAUGCUAAUACCUAAUAUUAUGAUAAUAGGGCAUCCUAUAAUUAUGAAAGCUAUAAGCGCUGUGAGAGAGCUUUGCGUCCCAUUAGCUAGUUGGAGAGGUAACGGCUCACCAAGGCGAUGAUGGGUAGCCGGCCUGAGAGGGUGAUCGGCCACAAGGGGACUGAGACACGGCCCGUACUCCUACGGGAGGCAGCAGUGGGGAAUAUUGGACAAUGGACCGAGAGUCUGAUCCAGCAAUUCUGUGUGCACGAUGAAGUUUUUCGGAAUGUAAAGUGCUUUCAGUUGGGAAGAAACAAAUGACGGUACCAACAGAAGAAGUGACGGCUAAAUACGUG
rnacentral:rRNA from 1 species